rnacentral:lncRNA from 1 species
CAAUCCUUCUUUACAAGUGUUUUGAUCUAACGUAACGUAGGUCAUUAAUGCUCUAAACCCCCUACAAGUGAUUUAAUCCGAGGAAAACAACGGUUGUACAUAAAAAAAAUCAUAUAAUUUGAUAUGUCUGCUACGUAAAUAAAAAUUACCACUAUGCUAUAAUCGUUCAGAAACGUUAGAAAUGCAAUAAGAGAAGCCAAUCGAUUCAUUCUUCCUCUUCCUAGCAAUCCCAUGAAGGGAGUGAGGCCAUAACUGUGUCCCACUAAAAUUUGCACUCUUGCAUAUUCCAACUAAACGUCUAAACAUAUCUUUACUCGUGGCAGAGUCACGAUUCUAUUAAGGCCCGGGCUAUUGCUUCAAAUCAAUUGAAAUUGCCAAAAAAAAUAAAAUCCAAACCAAUCUCCAAAUCACCAAAACUGCGAAAGGAAAAGAAAUCCACUCGCUAAUUAAGCCGCGACCCGGGCUGCUCGGGGCAUAAUACCUUUGAUCAGGAGGUACUGUAAUACUGGUCCAGUUGGAUUAUUCGAUCAAUUGGGUAUCUAUCUGGUACAACAGC